rnacentral:rRNA from 1 species
AUGAACGCUGGCGGCGUGCCUAAUACAUGCAAGUCGAGCGAACAGACGAGGAGCUUGCUCCUCUGACGUUAGCGGCGGGCGGGUGAGUAACACGUGGAUAACCUACCUAUAAGACUGGGAUAACUUCGGGAAACCGGAGCUAAUACCGGAUAAUAUAUUGAACCGCAUGGUUCAAUAGUGAAAGACGGUUUUGCUGUCACUUAUAGAUGGAUCCGCGCCGCAUUAGCUAGUUGGUAAGGUAACGGCUUACCAAGGCAACGAUGCGUAGCCGACCUGAGAGGGGGAUCGGCCACACUGGAACUGAGACACGGUCCAGAAUCCUACGGGAGGCAGCAGUAGGGAAUCUUCCGCAAUGGGCGAAAGCCUGACGGAGCAACGCCGCGUGAGUGAUGAAGGUCUUCGGAUCGUAAAACUCUGUUAUUAGGGAAGAACAAAUGUGUAAGUAACUAUGCACGUCUUGACGGUACCUAAUCAGAAAGCCACGGCGAACUACGU